GAUGAACGCUGGCGGCGUGCCUAAUACAUGCAAGUCGAGCGAACAGACGAGGAGCUUGCUCCUCUGACGUUAGCGGCGGACGGGUGAGUAACACGUGGAUAACCUACCUAUAAGACUGGGAUAACUUCGGGAAACCGGAGCUAAUACCGGAUAAUAUAUUGAACCGCAUGGUUCAAUAGUGAAAGACGGUUUUGCUGUCACUUAUAGAUGGAUCCGCGCCGCAUUAGCUAGUUGGUAAGGUAACGGCUUACCAAGGCAACGAUGCGUAGCCGACCUGAGAGGGUGAUCGGCCACACUGGAACUGAGACACGGUCCAGACUCCUACGGGAGGCAGCAGUAGGGAAUCUUCCGCAAUGGGCGAAAGCAUGACGGAGCAACGCCGAGUGAGUGAUGAAGGUCUUCGGAUCGUAAAACUCUGUUAUUAGGGAAGAACAAAUGUGUAAGUAACUAUGCACGUCUUGACGGUACCUACUCAGAAAGCCACGGCUAACUACGUG
rnacentral:rRNA from 1 species